rnacentral:rRNA from 1 species
AGUGAACGCUGGCGGUAGGCCUAACACAUGCAAGUCGAACGGCAGCACAGUAAGAGCUUGCUCUUACGGGUGGCGAGUGGCGGACGGGUGAGGAAUACAUCGGAAUCUACUUUUUCGUGGGGGAUAACGUAGGGAAACUUACGCUAAUACCGCAUACGACCUACGGGUGAAAGCAUGGGAUCUUCGGACCUUGCGCGAUCGAAUGAGCCGAUGUCGGAUUAGCUAGUUGGCGGGGUAAAGGCCCACCAAGGCGACGAUCCGUAGCUGGUCUGAGAGGAUGAUCAGCCACACUGGAACUGAGACACGGUCCAGACUCCUACGGGAGGCAGCAGCGGGGAAUAUUGGACAAUGGGCGCAAGCCUGAUCCAGCCAUACCGCGUGGGUGAAGAAGGCCUUCGGGUUGUAAAGCCCUUUUGUUGGGAAAGAAAAGCAGCAGGUUAAUACCCCGCUGUUCUGACGGUACCCAAAGAAUAAGCACCGGCUAACUUCGUG